AACGAACGCUGGCGGCAUGCCUAACACAUGCAAGUCGAACGAGACCUUCGGGUCUAGUGGCGCACGGGUGCGUAACGCGUGGGAACCUGCCCUUAGGUUCGGCAUAACUCCCCGAAAGGGGUGCUAAUACCGGAUAAUGUCUUCGGACCAAAGAUUUAUCGCCUUUGGAUGGGCCUGCGCUGGAUUAGCUAGUUGGUAGGGUAAAAGCCUACCAAGGCGACGAUCCAUAGCUGGUCUGAGAGGAUGAUCAGCCACACUGGGACUGAGACACGGCCCAGACUCCUACGGGAGGCAGCAGUGGGGAAUAUUGGACAAUGGGCGAAAGCCUGAUCCAGCAAUGCCGCGUGAGUGAUGAAGGCCUUAGGGUUGUAAAGCUCUUUUACCCGGGAUGAUAAUGACAGUACCGGGAGAAUAAGCUCCGGCUAACUCCGUG
rnacentral:rRNA from 1 species